rnacentral:rRNA from 1 species
AACGAACGCUGGCGGCAGGCCUAACACAUGCAAGUCGAGCGGACCCUUCGGGGUUAGCGGCGGACGGGUGCGUAACGCGUGGGAAUAUGCCCUUCUCUACGGAAUAGUCCUGGGAAACUGGGGGUAAUACCGUAUACGCCCUUUGGGGGAAAGAUUUAUCGGGGAAGGAUUAGCCCGCGUUGGAUUAGGUAGUUGGUGGGGUAAUGGCCUACCAAGCCGACGAUCCAUAGCUGGUUUGAGAGGAUGAUCAGCCACACUGGGACUGAGACACGGCCCAGACUCCUACGGGAGGCAGCAGUGGGGAAUCUUAGACAAUGGGGGCAACCCUGAUCUAGCCAUGCCGCGUGAGUGAUGAAGGCCUUAGGGUUGUAAAGCUCUUUCAGCUGGGAAGAUAAUGACGGUACCAGCAGAAGAAGCCCCGGCUAACUCCGUG